AAAUUUUUGAAUGGGAGAUGUGGCAUGAAGCAGUGGAGAGAGAGGCUCUGUUGAUCAAAUUGGCUAUUUACCAGCUAAGAAAAGAAAAUUGACGUGCCUCCAACCAUGACAUCACUUCCAGGGUCACUGCACCUGGACCCUCCUCUUCCUUCCAGAAACCAUCAACAUCAGAAACGUAGCCAUCUUGGACAAAAUCUGUGAACUUGCUUCAUCCUCUUCCUCCUGACUCUGGCCCCUUGAAUGGAG